GAGUUUGAUCUUGGCUCAGAUUGAACGCUGGCGGCAUGCCUUACACAUGCAAGUCGAACGGCAGCAUGAUCUAGCUUGCUAGAUUGAUGGCGAGUGGCGAACGGGUGAGUAAUACAUCGGAACGUGCCCUGUAGUGGGGGAUAACUAGUCGAAAGAUUAGCUAAUACCGCAUACGACCUGAGGGUGAAAGUGGGGGACCGCAAGGCCUCAUGCUAUAGGAGCGGCCGAUGUCUGAUUAGCUAGUUGGUGGGGUAAAGGCCCACCAAGGCGACGAUCAGUAGCUGGUCUGAGAGGACGAUCAGCCACACUGGGACUGAGACACGGCCCAGACUCCUACGGGAGGCAGCAGUGGGGAAUUUUGGACAAUGGGCGAAAGCCUGAUCCAGCAAUGCCGCGUGUGUGAAGAAGG
rnacentral:rRNA from 1 species